rnacentral:miRNA from 1 species
GGAAUGAGAUAGGGGCCCCUGGAUGGCUGAGUCAGUUGGCCUCUUCUGACCUCCUCUCAGGGUCAUGAUCU